rnacentral:rRNA from 1 species
GACGAACGCUGGCGGCGUGCUUAACACAUGCAAGUCGAACGGAAAGGCCCCGCUUUUGUGGGGUGCUCGAGUGGCGAACGGGUGAGUAACACGUGAGUAACCUGCCCUUGACUUUGGGAUAACUUCAGGAAACUGGGGCUAAUACCGGAUAGGAGCUCCUGCUGCAUGGUGGGGGUUGGAAAGUUUCGGCUGUUGGGGAUGGACUCGCGGCUUAUCAGCUUGUUGGUGGGGUAGUGGCUUACCAAGGCUUUGACGGGUAGCCGGCCUGAGAGGGUGACCGGCCACAUUGGGACUGAGAUACGGCCCAGACUCCUACGGGAGGCAGCAGUGGGGAAUAUUGCACAAUGGGCGGAAGCCUGAUGCAGCAACGCCGCGUGCGGGAUGACGGCCUUCGGGUUGUAAACCGCUUUCGCCUGUGACGAAGCGUGAGUGACGGUAAUGGGUAAAGAAGCACCGGCUAACUACGUG